AGUGAACGCUGGCGGUAGGCCUAACACAUGCAAGUCGAACGGCAGCACAGGAGAGCUUGCUCUCUGGGUGGCGAGUGGCGGACGGGUGAGGAAUGCAUCGGAAUCUACUCUUUCGUGGGGGAUAACGUAGGGAAACUUACGCUAAUACCGCAUACGACCUACGGGUGAAAGCCGGGGACCUUCGGGCCUGGCGCGAAUGAAUGAGCCGAUGCCCGAUUAGCUAGUUGGCGGGGUAAGAGCCCACCAAGGCGACGAUCGGUAGCUGGUCUGAGAGGAUGAUCAGCCACACUGGAACUGAGACACGGUCCAGACUCCUACGGGAGGCAGCAGUGGGGAAUAUUGGACAAUGGGCGCAAGCCUGAUCCAGCCAUACCGCGUGGGUGAAGAAGGCCUUCGGGUUGUAAAGCCCUUUUGUUGGGAAAGAAAAGCAGCUGGUUAAUACCCGGUUGUUCUGACGGUACCCAAAGAAUAAGCACCGGCUAACUUCGU
rnacentral:rRNA from 1 species